UACAGAGGCCUCAAGCGUUAGGCGGAAUCACUGGGCUUAAAGAGUGUGUAGGCGGAUCGUUAAGUGCCUUGUGAAAUCCCACGGCCUAACUGUGGAACGGCUGGGCAUACUGGCGGUCUUGAGCCAUCUAGGGGCGACUGGAACAAACGGUGGAGCGGUGAAAUGCGUAGAUAUCGUUUGGAACGCCAAUGGUGAAAACAGGUCGCUGGGGAUGAGCUGACGCUGAGACACGAAAGCCAGGGGAGCAAACGGG
rnacentral:rRNA from 1 species